rnacentral:rRNA from 1 species
UGCUCCCUGAUGUUAGCGGCGGACGGGUGAGUAACACGUGGGUAACCUGCCUGUAAGACUGGGAUAACUCCGGGAAACCGGGGCUAAUACCGGAUGGUUGUUUGAACCGCAUGGUUCAGACAUAAAAGGUGGCUUCGGCUACCACUUACAGAUGGACCCGCGGCGCAUUAGCUAGUUGGUGAGGUAACGGCUCACCAAGGCGACGAUGCGUAGCCGACCUGAGAGGGUGAUCGGCCACACUGGGACUGAGACACGGCCCAGACUCCUACGGGAGGCAGCAGUAGGGAAUCUUCCGCAAUGGACGAAAGUCUGACGGAGCAACGCCGCGUGAGUGAUGAAGGUUUUCGGAUCGUAAAGCUCUGUUGUUAGGGAAGAACAAGUGCCGUUCAAAUAGGGCGGCACCUUGACGGUACCUAACCAGAAAGCCACGGCUAACUACGUGCCAGCAGCCGCGGUAAUACGUAGGUGGCAAGCGUUGUCCGGAAUUAUUGGGCGUAAAGGGCUCGCAGGCGGUUUCUUAAGUCUGAUGUGAAAGCCCCCGGCUCAACCGGGGAGGGUCAUUGGAAACUGGGGAACUUGAGUGCAGAAGAGGAGAGUGGAAUUCCACGUGUAGCGGUGAAAUGCGUAGAGAUGUGGAGGAACACCAGUGGCGAAGGCGACUCUCUGGUCUGUAACUGACGCUGANGAGCGAAAGCGUGGGGAGCGAACAGGAUUAGAUACCCUGGUAGUCCACGCCGUAAACGAUGAGUGCUAAGUGUUAGGGGGUUUCCGCCCCCUUAGUGCUGCAGCUAACGCAUUAAGCACUCCGCCUGGGGAGUACGGUCGCAAGACUGAAACUCNAAGGAAUUGACGGGGGGCCCGCACAAGGCGGNGGAGCAUGNGGUUUAAUUUCGAGCAAC